AGAAGACCUCCGAUAAAUCAAGCCUGAAGGGGCGAACGCAGGUUGUAAAAAAGCGGAGAGACGUAUUGACACGUCACCCCGC
rnacentral:sRNA from 1 species